rnacentral:rRNA from 1 species
UAUGUGAUCGUCUCUCGCAUAUCAAUAAGCGGAGGAAAAGAAACUAACAAGGAUUCCCCUAGUAACGGCGAGUGAAGCGGGAAGAGCUCAAAUUUGAAAUCUUAAAGGGUUUCCCUUUACGAAUUGUAGUUUAAAAAAGUGUUUUCUGUUGAGGUUUUGGUAAAAGUUCUUUGGAGUAGGACAUCAUAGAGGGUGAGAAUCCCGUAUUUGACCUUUACUUUCAACUUUGUGAUACACUUUCAAAGAGUCGGAUUGUUUGGGAAUGCAGUCCAAAAUGGGUGGUAAAUUUCAUCUAAAGCUAAAUAUUGGCGAGAGACCGAUAGCGAACAAGUACCGUGAGGGAAAGAUGAAAAGAACUUUGAAAAGAGAGUUAAACAGUACGUGAAAUUGUCAAAAGGGAAGCGUUUGACACCAGUGUUUGUUUUUCUGAAAAUCAAUUAAAGAACUGUUUAUGCUAAGUUGUUUAGACUUUAUCAGCUAUCUGUUUAGUUUUGAGCUUUUCUUUAAUGCACUUUUCAGUUAACAAGUCAACAUCAAUUUCUUUUGCUGUAAAAAAGCUUGAGGAAGGUGGCUUGAGAUUCGUCUUAAGUGUUUAUAGCCUCUUGCCUAUGCAGUCGGAGAGAUUGAGGUCUGCAGCGUAGAUCCUUCGGGGCUAAAUGCAUUUGUGCUAAGUUAUAGCAUUUUAUAGACAACUUGUUGACUAUGAUUUGUCUUGUAGCUUACUCGCUUAUGUUAUUUUACCUACGCUUAGGAUGUUGAGCGCAUGUCUCUCUCU